UCGCGGGGCAGCCCGCCUGGCCCGCCGGCGCAGGUGAGCCCUUUUCAUAAAGGACGCGGGAAACUGGGGCCUGUUUACCAGCUCUAUAAAUGCACGUGGAAGAGAAGAACUGGCCUUCGAGGUACAGCUGCUAGCUGAUCUCUUGUGAAAAGGAGCCUUUUGGAAAGGGCGCUUAAAGGGAAAACGUGGCCACAGGUCCUGAAGGGGCUGCUUCUCAUGGACCCCCUUUGAGUAGUGUCUCUUGAAUAGCCGUGGAAAAUGAACUUAAUAUAAAGCAGACACAGCCCUCAAGCGCUCCCUGACUCGGGACAGCAUCCCUUCUGCCUCUUGAAGCUCGUUGACUUUGGAAAUCACCCGCGGCUCUGUGGCCACCUCCCCUGUUGGCUGAAGCUUGCCUCGCCGCACGUCCCUCUUUGCGCAGGUCUGCACGCUCCGCAGAGGUAACUGAGGACUUUCCGAGUCCAGCUGACUGGAAAGAGGCGAUGGCCUAACAAAACGGCCUGGGGAAUUUCCAGCACGAUGGGAAUUUGCCAAAUAGCUCUUCUGUAGGGCUGACGAGGCCUACUAAUGUUUGCUCCUCAAAGUCAGCCAUAAUUACGAAGAUAUUUACAGAUAAUCCGAGGAAGAGGAAUAUGCCUGUGAGCCACGUUCCAGAAGCUAAUACCUGGCGGGAUGUGUAUAACAAAUUACUUGCUUCGAGUGUUACAGCUGAGCUCAUGGAUGGCAUUCUUACUGGAUUAUUAAAGGCUUCUCAGGGUGUUUGGGAAUGCCUCUGUUUCAAGUUUAAUUCCACAAGUCCCUGAGUGAACACGCUGUGGCAACUUCAAACAAAAAUCAGAUUAACCAAACCAGCCUCCUCUCCUGGGGAAGGGAAACUGCCCUUCAAAAGGUAGUGCUGGAAAAGAAAAGCACGAGAACGAUGGGCCCCUCUCUAUACUAGUCUGAUCAGAAAAAUCCAAACUUCCAGCAACAUUUUUCACUUUGCAAAAGAAUCACUGGCUUUACAAAACCUUUAACUAAGGCUCUCUGCUGCAUCUAAAAUGUCUUAAUUCCUGAUCGCAUUGGUGACACUUCUGAUUGGAAGAGGAGACAGAAAUU
rnacentral:lncRNA from 1 species